rnacentral:rRNA from 1 species
GACAGAGGGUGCAAACGUUGUUCGGAAUUACUGGGCGUAAAGCGAGUGUAGGCGGUCCGACAAGUCGGGUGUGAAAGCCCUGGGCUCAACCCAGGAAGUGCACUCGAAACUGCCGGGCUAGAGUAUCGGAGAGGUUGGUGGAAUUCUCGGUGUAGAGGUGAAAUUCGUAGAUAUCGAGAGGAACACCGGUGGCGAAGGCGGCCAACUGGACGAAUACUGACGCUGAGACUCGAAAGCGUGGGGAGCAAACAGG